rnacentral:rRNA from 1 species
GACGAACGCUGGCGGCGUGCUUAACGCAUGCAAGUCGAACGAUGAAGCCUAGCUUGCUAGGUGGAUUAGUGGCGAACGGGUGAGUAAUACGUGAGUAACCUACCUUUAACUCUGGGAUAAGCCCGGGAAACUGGGUCUAAUACCGGAUACGACCAAUCUCCGCAUGGGGUGUUGGUGGAAAGCGUUAUGUAGUGGUUAUAGAUGGGCUCACGGCCUAUCAGCUUGUUGGUGAGGUAACGGCUCACCAAGGCGACGACGGGUAGCCGGCCUGAGAGGGUGACCGGCCACACUGGGACUGAGACACGGCCCAGACUCCUACGGGAGGCAGCAGUGGGGAAUAUUGCACAAUGGGCGCAAGCCUGAUGCAGCGACGCCGCGUGAGGGAUGACGGCCUUCGGGUUGUAAACCUCUGUUAGCAGGGAAGAAGAGAGAUUGACGGUACCUGCAGAGAAAGCGCCGGCUAACUACGUG